rnacentral:rRNA from 1 species
CCUACGGGAGGCAGCAGUGGGGAAUUUUGGACAAUGGGCGCAAGCCUGAUCCAGCCAUGCCGCGUGCGGGAAGAAGGCCUUCGGGUUGUAAACCGCUUUUGUCAGGGAAGAAAAGGUUCUGGUUAAUACCUGGGACUCAUGACGGUACCUGAAGAAUAAGCACCGGCUAACUACGUGCCAGCAGCCGCGGUAAUACGUAGGGUGCAAGCGUUAAUCGGAAUUACUGGGCGUAAAGCGUGCGCAGGCGGUUAUGCAAGACAGAGGUGAAAUCCCCGGGCUCAACCUGGGAACUGCCUUUGUGACUGCAUAGCUAGAGUGCGGCAGAGGGGGAUGGAAUUCCGCGUGUAGCAGUGAAAUGCGUAGAUAUGCGGAGGAACACCGAUGGCGAAGGCAAUCCCCUGGGCCUGCACUGACGCUCAUGCACGAAAGCGUGGGGAGCAAACAGGAUUAGAUACCCUGGUAGUCCACGCCCUAAACGAUGUCAACUGGUUGUUGGGAGGGUUUCUUCUCAGUAACGUAGCUAACGCGUGAAGUUGACCGCCUGGGGGAGGACGGCCGCGAGUAGUAACGUACAAGUAGAGUUAGUACGGCGUGAGACGUGCCGACGGACGACGACGAGGGAGGAGG